rnacentral:lncRNA from 1 species
AUGAAAGGCUGGAAGAAGGCAAAGAAAAGAUGAGGGUCUGAGUAGCAAUGUUCACAUGAAGCCAAUGCCACUUGGCUUUAUUCAGGGGUGUCCUUGAAUCUUAGAACAACCUCUUCAUGCAUGUAGAGCCGGAGUUUCACCGUGUUAGCCAGGAUGGUCUCGAUCUCCUGACCUUGUGAUGGGCCUCCCAAAGUGCUGGGAUUACAGACGUGAGCCACCGCGCCCGUACCAUGGUCUAAAAGGCUCCCUGAAAUUCCAUGUAUAAUGAAAACAAAUUUGACGAUGACAAAGGAAGCUCUGCCUGUUCCUCUGUCUUCACCCGAUUGAGGGGCCCACUCUACUUCAAGCCUUCAGCCUGCCCAAGGAAACCAGUUUCCCACUGUAACUGGAGACAGACCUCCAGAAAAUACAGAAGAACAUAUAUGGCUCACUUUAUAUUUCUGCCAGAUAGAACUGUUCUGAAGCCUCAGAGUCUUCUGUUUCAGCUGGCAGAAGGGUAAAGAGAGAGGAGAGAAGGCACACCUAAUUCAUUAAAGCUCCAGUCUGG